UAUGUGAGGACAUAAUACAACCGUUGGAUCAAUUGCAUCCAAUGGCUAUUAUUUAUCAAACAUAAUUUCAAAAACAAAAUUCCAGCUUUUUCUCUCUCCUCCUUCAUUUUGAUGCGUCUUUCUCUCUGCUAUUUGCUCUUAUUCUUCUUCAAACUUCAUAACUUCUUCAUCAAGAAUUGUUCCGUGCUAUGGAUUCUUCGGUUGUUAUGGAUUCUACUAAUGCUAUGGAUUCUACCAAUGCUAAAGAUUCCACGGUUGUACCUUUGGCAAGGAAAAUGUCAUAAUCAUUGAAAAAUUUCGUUCGAAGUAUAGCCACUCAAUUAUUUCAAGUGAAGUAAAUACUAUUGAAUCAAACAAAUUGGUCAAAAGAAAAAAAAAAAGGUUGAAGAAAGCUGGUGUUGCAACUUAAGAAAGCUAGUUGUCAAUGAUAUGAUCUUAGUAGCAUCCCCAAGGGGAAGCAAUCCAAGAGCAUUCACGGUAGAGAAGACUGAAGUUGAUAUGCUUUUUAUUGGUUACUAUUUUGAUGUUAGUUACUAUUUGUGUCCUUGUCUGCAUAAGACAAGUUGAUUUUAGGAAGAAUCACAUUUUGGCAAUUGUAUAUUAGGGAAGGAGGGCAAAUUAGGAGGUUAGGCAAUUGUUCUUAUGAUGUUCUUAGGAUUUGUAUAGAACGGUAUUAGUAUUAGUUUUUAUGAUGUUCUCAAUGGCACAAAUGUGUUUGUGUUAAUCUUGUUCUUAUAACAUUUGGUAUGUUAAUGUAAUGGUAAAUAUUUUCUAAAAGUUGAUCU